AUACAGGGGGUGCGAGCGUUAAUCGGAAUUACUGGGCGUAAAGCGUACGUAGGCGGUCCGUUAAGUUAGAUGUGAAAGCCCCGGGCUUAACCUGGGAACUGCAUUUAAAACUGGCGGACUAGAGUUGAGUAGAGGGGAGUGGAAUUUCAGGUGUAGCGGUGAAAUGCGUAGAGAUCUGAAGGAACACCAGUGGCGAAGGCGACUCCCUGGACUCGAACUGACGCUGAGGUACGAAAGCGUGGGUAGCAAACGGGAUUAGAGACCCCGGUAGUCC
rnacentral:rRNA from 1 species